UACAGAGGUCUCAAGCGUUGUUCGGAUUCAUUGGGCGUAAAGGGUGCGUAGGCGGCGAAGCAAGUCAGGUGUGAAAUCCCGGAGCUUAACUCCGGAACUGCACUUGAUACUGCUUUGCUUGAGGACUGGAGAGGAGAUCGGAAUUCACGGUGUAGCAGUGAAAUGCGUAGAUAUCGUGAGGAAGGCCAGUGGCGAAGGCGGAUCUCUGGACAGUUCCUGACGCUGAGGCACGAAGGCCAGGGGGAGCAAACGGG
rnacentral:rRNA from 1 species